GGGGAUGAAAGGAAUCGACGGAACGCAUGCACUUUUAAAAAAGGAUAGAGCGCACCUGUGCGAUAAACGGAAAAAACUAUUUGCUAAGAACGAAUUAGCACAACGUGAACUUGCGUUGGCUUACGCGGCUCAACCCCGCGUUUAUGCUUACGUAAACUAAACGACUCUUUUAAAGUUUUCCUUGAUUCAACUUUAAAAGGGAAAACCAAUCAAGGUAAGGUUUUCAAGUAUUCACGAUUAGCUUGAAAAUCGAUAAUUCCAAUCGGCUUCCCGAUAAGUUUUGUUUAUUUUCUAGUCGGGAAAGAGACAAAAAUAGUCUAUCUCUAUCUAAACUUUUUUAAAAAGGCCCUUCCGGACCCGGGUUCAACUCCCGGCAUCUCCACAC
rfam:Candidatus Roizmanbacteria bacterium RIFCSPLOWO2_01_FTLL_37_16 rifcsplowo2_01_scaffold_17521, whole genome shotgun sequence.